rnacentral:lncRNA from 1 species
ACCAUCACAACAAUCAGCUUUAUGUACAUCACACUGAACAGAAAUAUCCAACAUGCCUCUUAUCGCCAUUCCUAUGCAUUUACAGUUUUAUACUUUGGCAAAAUUAGGAAUUUUAUCCACCUAAAAUUCCUUCCUUUCCAUUAUUUAAGCCCCCACCUUGAUAAAAGCAUAAUGAGCAAAAUAUAUAAAGGGUAAAACAAAAGAAGAUAAGAAGAAACUUAAAAGGUCUUCCCAUAAGUGUAUGUAUAGGCUGAGUAGAACUUUCCAAACACAGUUUCCAUUAUUAUUGUUCCCUUCCAUGCCUCUCAGGGAAUGAUUUUGCAGGGCAGAGGAUUCGUCUACGUUGUGGAGUCCCUAAAAUGAUGGUCUGAGAACGCGUCACCAUGUCAACCAUGGAAGGUGUUUGGUACGACCUUAAAAUAGUGUAACUCCUCGCUUUAUUUUUUUAUUGUAGGUAGAUUUUUUUUAGUAAGGCAUUUAUUAAAUAGUUUAAUUUAAUUUAUAUUUCAUUCAAACCUUUUUUCUAAUAAUAAUAAUACAUUCAUUAAAGUACUUCGAAUUCUGAGCUAUUAACUUAUUUAAUAGUAUUAUAGUUUAAAAUAUUUUAAUACUCUAUUAAUAUUUGAUGAGAGAAGCAAAAUCUCAAAAGAAUAAUUGAAGCAAGAGUAUUCUUUGAGGUUUUAGCAUGAAACUUCUAUCUUUGGAUUACUACAAAGGAAACUAGCAUAAAAUGACUUCUAAAAUCUAAAAUUCAUAUUCGGAAUACUAUGGUUGUUGAAAGAAAAUAGGAAAAAUAAAAUAAAAGGUAAUGGAGAAAGUUAUAGAAGAGUAUAGAGAGUAUAAGACUAUAAGGUGCACUGGCUUAUUCACUUAUACCCUUAUAGUUUGUUUGAGUUGGUUUUUAAAGAGUAAGAGGAGAAGGAAAAGUCUUGAAAACCAUAAAAUAUUCUUAUGAAAUGACUCUCAAGUUUUCCAUUUCCCUUUAUUUUCCACCAAAAAUCGACUAACAAACAAACCCUUUCCAUGUCUCACACUAGUAUAUAUACUUACCAUUAAAUAAAAUGCAACAGCCAGUAACCAAAACGAGGAAAAGUUAGAGGAAAAAAACAUUUUAUAAACUCUUCAACAACAUUCUAAGUAUAAAUUGUUAGAUUUAUGAAUGUUUCAAUAGAAAAACUUUUGAUUACAGUAAAAAUAAAGUAAUAAGUAAAGGAUUUAACAUGUAUACAUUGAUAGUGUAAAUGUUUUUUACACUGUUAACAAAUCUCUAUCAUUCAUGUGUUAACUAUCAUUGAUUCUCAAACAAAAGUAAUACAAAUCAAUGAUUAAUAAUGUGUCAACAAUAUAAAAAACUUUACACCAACAAUGCAUACAUUUUAAUCUCAAAAGUAAAUGUUUAAGGGAUCUAUAAUCAUUGGAGAUUGAAAUGACUCAAAUCUAUAAUAAUGAAUAGAUAUUGAAAUUUCAAUAUUACAUGAGAUAGAUUUCCUUGUUGGGUGGCUGUCCAACCAUAAUGAUAAUAUAAAAGGAUUUUUAAUCAUUGGAGAUUGAAAUGAGUCAAUCUAUAAUUUGUAAUAACAGCCAAAAAGAUUUUAGCUAACACAGUAUAUUGUACAUAAAAUAAAAUUUGCAAAAGAAAUGGAAAAGAUAAAACUAAACAUAAAUCAUCCACUAACCUUUCAUGGUUUACCCCAUGUCCAAACAUUAAGAGUCCUAUUUAUGCCUCAAGUCAAUUUUUUAUAUGCAUCUCUUCCAUUACUAGAAAAUCCUAUGGAAAAAGAGUGGAAUUAAAAAAAGGAAAUCUAGUUAGUAAACUUUUGUUGAAUAAAAGUCCAAAGGUGCUGGUUCUUGUGUACAACAGAAUGAAAUCAUGCUAGGUACAUCUGAGGCUAAUAUAUGAAAACAUAAGCUAUAUGAUGAUGCAAACAAAAAGAAUCACCUUGAUGCAGAAGAUCAACCUAGAAGAAUCUGAUGUUACAUAAAAUUCAAAAGGUAAAGCAGUCCAACAAAAAAUAUGUAGAAGGAAGAGCACCAGUUAUAAAAAGAAUCAAAAGCAUAUAUAUUGCAUAUGUAUAUAUAAUCAAGUAAAGAAAUUCACCAUCACAACAAUCAGCUUUAUGUACAUCACACUGAACAGAAAUAUCCAACAUGCCUCUUAUCGCCAUUCCUAUGCAUUUACAGUUUUAUACUUAGGCAAAAUUAGGAAUUUUAUCCACAUAAAAUUCCUUCCUUUCCAUUAUUUAUGCCCCCACCUUGACAAAACCAUAGUCAGCAAAAUAUAUAAAGGGUAAAACAAAAGAAGAUAAGAAGAAACUUAAAAGGUCUUCCCAUAAGUGUAUGUAUAGGCUGAGUAGAACUUUCCAAACACAGUUUCCAUUAUUAUUGUUCCCUUCCAUGCCUCUCAGGGAAUGAUUUUGCAGGGCAGAGGAUUCGUCUACGUUGUGGAGUCCCUAAAAUGAUGGUCUGAGAACGCGUCACCAUGUCAACCAUGGAAGGUGUUUGGUACGACUGCAGAAGGCUUGUGCUGUCUGUGGAAUCGCCUCGAGCCGUUGCCCUUUGC